rnacentral:rRNA from 1 species
UACGUAGGCAGCGAGCGUUGUUCGGAGUUACUGGGCGUAAAGGGUGUGUAGGCGGUUGUUUAAGUUUGAUGUGAAAUCUCCCGGCUUAACCGGGAGGGUGCGUCGAAUACUGAAUGACUAGAGUGCGGGAGAGGAAAGUGGAAUUCCUGGUGUAGCGGUGAAAUGCGUAGAUAUCAGGAGGAACACCGGUGGUGUAGACGGCUUUCUGGACCGUAACUGACGCUGAAACACGAAAGCGUGGGUAGCAAACAGG